CGGUGUUUAACUGGCGUGAUGUGGGACGUCCUACCGGUGGGCUUAGCCUCGCGAGGGGCGGCCCAACUAAUAUCCCGUCGCGGUGCUCUUUACUGAGUGUCGAGUCGGGCCGGUACGUUUACUUUGAACAAAUUAGAGUGCUUAAAGCAGGCUAUCCUCGCCUGAAUACUGCGUGCAUGGAAUAAUGGAAUAGGACCUCGGUUCUAUUUUGUUGGUUUUCGGAACCCCGAGGUAAUGAUUAAUAGGGACAGAUGGGGGCAUUCGUAUUGCGACGUUAGAGGUGAAAUUCUUGGAUCGUCGCAAGACGGACAGAAGCGAAAGCAUUUGCCAAAAAUGUUUUCAUUAAUCAAGAACGAAAGUUAGAGGUUCGAAGGCGAUCAGAUACCGCCCUAGUUCUAACCAUAAACGAUGCCAGCUAGCGAUCCGCCGAAGUUCCUCCGAUGACUCGGCGGGCAGCUUCCGGGAAACCAAAGCUUUUGGGUUCCGGGGGAAGUAUGGUUGCAAAGCUGAAACUUAAAGGAAUUGACGGAAGGGCACCACCAGGAGUGGAGCCUGCGGCUUAAUUUGACUCAACACGGGAAACCUCACCAGGCCCAGACACCGGAAGGAUUGACAGAUUGAUAGCUCUUUCUUGAUUCGGUGGGUGGUGGUGCGUGGCCGUUCUUAGUUGGUGGAGCGAUUUGUCUGGUUAAUUCCGAUAACGAACGAGACUCUAGCCUGCUAAAUAGGCGUACCUUAUGGUAUCGCGAAGGCCCCCGGCUUCGGCCGGUGGGUUUUUACUACCAACGUACAAACAAAUCUUCUUAGAGGGACAGGCGG
rnacentral:rRNA from 1 species